rnacentral:rRNA from 1 species
UAAUGUCGGUGGUGCGUUCAACAUACGUAAGCUAAGUGGAAAAGACGGGAAUGCCGUCUUUCGACGCCAAGUGGUGGAUGGGCGAGCAAUAUGCGGGCAAUUCGUUCGCAAGAUCGGGACAAUCUUGGGAAAUUGGGGUCAACAUUGGACGGCCGCCCGAAUUGUACGGCCUAAGAUACAAAAGGCGGUCCUGGUCAUUAUCCAUAGACGGAUUUGUGGUGUACCAGUCAGCCGCCGAGGCAAUGGUCUAUUAAGGUAAAGACGUGCAGUUGAUUCGAGAGGGCGACUGGUUAUAUCGGGAUCGAGAUAAUGUUUAAAUCUUCAUGGGAGGUAGUAGCAGGGAACUCCUUUUAACCGAUUAAAGCUCCAUUGAGUAAUUUUUUUUCAAGCGACCAAGGCCCCUCGCUUUCAAAGUCUUUCCCCCCCAGGGAAAAAUAAACGGUGCCCCAAAACAAGGGGGGGAUUUCCGUA